UACGAAGGGGGCUAGCGUUGUUCGGAAUUACUGGGCGUAAAGCGUGCGCAGGCGGCUUCUCAAGUCAGGGGUGAAAGCCCAGAGCUCAACUCUGGAAUUGCCUUUGAGACUGAGAGGCUUGAGUACGGGAGAGGUGAGUGGAACUGCGAGUGUAGAGGUGAAAUUCGUAGAUAUUCGCAAGAACACCAGUGGCGAAGGCGGACUCACUGGCCCGAGUACUGACGCUGAUGCACGAAAGCGUGGGGGAGCAAACAGG
rnacentral:rRNA from 1 species